rnacentral:tRNA from 1 species
UCUUCCGUAGUGUAGUAGGUAUCACGCGAGGCUGUGAACUUCGAAACCGCGGUUCGAUUCCGCGCGGAGGAA